UAGGUGGGUGUGGGCGAUCCCUUCGGGAUGUCCCUUACGCACGCGAUUGCCUCCGGAAUGGGUGGCAUUCGUACCGCUGGAGAUCUAGUGGCGCGGAUGC
rfam:Freshwater sediment metagenome lwFormate_BCIX595_g1, whole genome shotgun sequence.